UAGGGAAUUUUCCGCAAUGGGCGAAAGCCUGACGGAGCAAUACCGCGUGAGGGAUGACGGCCUGUGGGUUGUAAACCUCUUUUCUCAAGGAAGAAGUUCUGACGGUACUUGAGGAAUAAGCAUCGGCUAACUCUGUG
rnacentral:rRNA from 2 species